rnacentral:lncRNA from 1 species
AUGUUGCAACAACCUUUUACUCAGCUGCAUUCUUUCUGUAUUGAAGAUGUCAUUUUACACAAACUGGGCACAAAGAGAAGUGUAGGGGGGAAGUUAUCUCUAGGGGGAAAAUAGAAUGAUGCUGUUAUUACAGUCUAAGUCACUAUACUCGAGCUUGAUACAAGUGAUACCAAGAGUUGCAUAUUACAAUCGAAACUGCAAAAAUUUACAUUGCCUGGUUGAUUGAAAACGAUUACAAAAAUUUUAUACAGACUGAACCUGAAUGGUCCAUUUACUCUUAAUAAGCCGCACAUUGGUGCCAAAGAAAGGUCAAUCUCCACAUUAUCUACUGCAAUCAUUGCUCAACUGACUUCUUUUGAGUCCAUCCUUGCUUCCCUUGCCCUACAUGACAAGUUGGAUAAAUUUUAUGAUGUUAGCUCCAGCAAAUAAUCAGACACAACGGACCAUUUUUGCUGAACUGCGAUGAAGCCGGGUAUUCUAACAAGGAGAUUCAAAUAAACCUGCAACUUAAAACAACUAUUUAUCCACCUUUGCUACUAAACUAGAAUCUUCCCUUAUGUCAAGGAAAUUAAACAAUUUGUAUACAAAUAUAGUACUCAUUGUUUUGCCCUAUUUCCACAGUAUAAUUUUCCAACAAAGGUGAUUCAAUUUGAACCCCUUCCAGACCAUGUAAUUCCUCCUCUGUUGUCAAAGAUUUUCUAAGUUAUGCACUUCCAUUCAAGAAGAAUCCAAAAUUGCAUCACCCUUCCCAAUAUGGCACCCAACCAGCAUCUGGUUACACUAUUUGAAAGCCUAUAUCACUAAUACAAUGAUCUAUGUCACGUCUACUACCUAUUCCUAUUUUUGUCAUUGGAUUUCUUGUAUAAAACAAAGCAACAUAUCCUGAAGACAUGUAAUUCAAAGAAUGUGCUGAAUCAGAAAUAUUUCCCUUUUCACUGGGUUAACAUCGAAAUCUUAUAGCCUAACAUCCUUAAAAUUACACUAUCUGACAAAAUACCCUGUCUCUAUCAGCUUCUAUUAACAUACAGAAUGACAAUCAAUUUAGACAUAAAAGGCAAAACAGUAUAUUUGAUAUUCAUUAUGCUCAAGCACAAAUGAAAAUGACGAACAAAAUACCUCUUAAAUGAUGUGUGGAUAAGAAAUUGCCCUUCAAAGAAAGAACGGAACAAAGAUUUGUGACAGUUACACUGUGCACAUGCAAUAGCAUGAAGUCACCUAUGCACUACUUGAUGUUAGCAAAAUAGAGUCAUAAUUGACUCAAUGGUCAAAGAUCCAGAAAAAGUUUGUAGGCCUCAAAUAGUGAAAGAAAGACACUCAUGUACCAAGCAAAUUGGCACCUAAGCUACCAGGAUGAUUGGGUGACAAAAUUUGUUUCACCCCAUCAUAAUUUACAAAAGCAUGAAUAUUAUGCAGCAACAACCAGCUUAGUCUGAGGAAACAGAAAUAAAUACACUUCUAAUUUAAAAAUUCCUGUUUUAAUAUCAAAUUAUGAAACACUAAGAAUAAGACUUACGACAUCACAGCAGUAUAGUAUUAUCUUAGACCUUGCUAAUAAAACCACACAACACAAGCACGAGUAUGAUAGAGAUUUCAACAUGCAAAAGCACUUCAUUUCUACAUAGGAAAUAUCAGAAGAAAUUGUUUGAGACUCACUGAAGCCUUUUGACCUGUCAAUUUCCUAGCAGAAGGUGCCCGAGCAACUGAUGAAGCAGCAGCUACACAUAUU